GAUGAACGCUGGCGGCGUGCCUAAUACAUGCAAGUCGAGCGAACAGACGAGGAGCUUGCUCCUUUGACGUUAGCGGCGGACGGGUGAGUAACACGUAGGUAACCUACCUAUAAGACUGGGAUAACUUCGGGAAACCGGAGCUAAUAUCGGAUAAUAUUUCGAACCGCAUGGUUCGAUAGUGAAAGAUGGCUUUGCUAUCACUUAUAGAUGGACCUGCGCCGUAUUAGCUAGUUGGUAAGGUAACGGCUUACCAAGGCAACGAUACGUAGCCGACCUGAGAGGGUGAUCGGCCACACUGGAACUGAGACACGGUCCAGACUCCUACGGGAGGCAGCAGUAGGGAAUCUUCCGCAAAGGGCGAAAGCCUGACGGAGCAACGCCGCGUGAGUGAUGAAGGUCUUCGGAUCGUAAAACUCUGUUAUUAGGGAAGAACAAACGUGUAAGUAACUGUGCACGUCUUGACGGUACCUAAUCAGAAAGCCACGGCUAACUACGUG
rnacentral:rRNA from 1 species